rnacentral:rRNA from 1 species
GAAUGCUGACAUAAGUAACGAUAAAGCGGGUGAAAAGCCCGCUCGCCGGAAGACCAAGGGUUCCUGUCCAACGUUAAUCGGGGCAGGGUGAGUCGACCCCUAAGGCGAGGCCGAAAGGCGUAGUCGAUGGGAAACAGGUUAAUAUUCCUGUACUUGGUGUUACUGCGAAGGGGGGACGGAGAAGGCUAUGUUGGCCGGGCGACGGUUGUCCCGGUUUAAGCGUGUAGGCUGGUUUUCCAGGCAAAUCCGGAAAAUCAAGGCUGAGGCGUGAUGACGAGGCACUACGGUGCUGAAGCGACAAAUGCCCUGCUUCCAGGAA